CGCGUAGGCGGUGUGGUAAGUCUGUUGUGAAACCUCCAGGCUCAACUUGGAGCUUGCAUCAGAAACUGCCGUGCUAGAGUGUGGGAGAGGAGAGUGGAAUUCCUGGUGUAGCGGUGAAAUGCGUAGAUAUCAGGAGGAACACCGGUGGCGAAAGCGGCUCUCUGGACCACAACUGACGCUGAGGCGCGAAAGCUAGGGGAGCAAACAGGAUUAGAUACCCUGGUAGUCCUAGCCUUAAACGAUGAACACUUGGUAUAGCGGGUAUCGAAUCCCGCUGUGCCGGAGCUAACGCAUUAAGUGUUCCGCCUGGGGAGUACGGUCGCAAGGCUGAA
rnacentral:rRNA from 1 species